rnacentral:rRNA from 1 species
UUGGAGGGCAAGUCUGGUGCCAGCAGCCGCGGUAAUUCCAGCUCCAAUAGCGUAUAUUAAAGUUGUUGCAGUUAAAAAGCUCGUAGUUGAAUUUCGGGACCAAUUUGUUGGUCGUGCCUCGGUACGUACUGGUAUUAUUGGUUUCUCCCUUCUGAAGAACCUCGAUGUCAUUAAUUUGGUGUCGUGGGGAAUCAGGACUGUUACUUUGAAAAAAUUAGAGUGUUUAAAGCAGGCAUACGCUUGAAUACAUUAGCAUGGAAUAAUGAAAUAGGACGUUUGAUUCUAUUUUGUUGGUUUCUAGGAUCGACGUAAUGAUUAAUAGGGAUAGUUGGGGGCAUUAGUAUUCAAUUGUCAGAGGUGAAAUUCUUGGAUUUAUUGAAGACUAACUACUGCGAAAGCAUUUGCCAAGGAUGUUUUCAUUAAUCAAGAACGAAAGUUAGGGGAUCGAAGACGAUCAGAUACCGUCGUAGUCUUAACCAUAAACUAUGCCGACAAGGGAUCGGAUGAUGUUAAUUUUUUAAUGACUCAUUCGGCGCCUUACGGGAAACCAAAGUGUUUGGGUUC